rnacentral:tRNA from 1 species
AAAGGGGUCAUAGAAAUCAAGAGGUUCGGCUCAUAACCUGAAGGCCGCAGGUUCAAAUCCUGCCCCCGCAACCA